GUGGGGAAUAUUGGACAAUGGGGGAAACCCUGAUCCAGCGACGCCGCGUGAGUGAAGAAGUAUUUCGGUAUGUAAAGCUCUAUCAGCAGGGAAGAAAAUGACGGUACCUGACUAAGAAGCCCCGGCUAACUACGUGCCAGCAGCCGCGGUAAUACGUAGGGGGCAAGCGUUAUCCGGAUUUACUGGGUGUAAAGGGAGCGUAGACGGCACUGCAAGUCUGGAGUGAAAGCCCGGGGCUCAACCCCGGGACUGCUUUGGAAACUGUGGUGCUGGAGUGCAGGAGAGGUAAGUGGAAUUCCUAGUGUAGCGGUGAAAUGCGUAGAUAUUAGGAGGAACACCAGUGGCGAGGGCGGCUUACUGGACUGUAACUGACGUUGAGGCUCGAAAGCGUGGGGAGCAAACAGGAUUAGAAACCCGUGUAGUCC
rnacentral:rRNA from 1 species